rnacentral:rRNA from 1 species
UAGGGAAUCUUCGGCAAUGGACGAAAGUCUGACCGAGCAACGCCGCGUGAGUGAAGAAGGUUUUCGGAUCGUAAAACUCUGUUGUUAGAGAAGAACAAGGACGUUAGUAACUGAACGUCCCCUGACGGUAUCUAACCAGAAAGCCACGGCUAACUACGUGCCAGCAGCCGCGGUAAUACGUAGGUGGCAAGCGUUGUCCGGAUUUAUUGGGCGUAAAGCGAGCGCAGGCGGUUUCUUAAGUCUGAUGUGAAAGCCCCCGGCUCAACCGGGGAGGGUCAUUGGAAACUGUGAGACUUGAGUGCAGAAGAGGAGAGUGGAAUUCCGUGUGUAGCGGUGAAAUGCGUAGAUAUAUGGAGGAACACCAGUGGCGAAGGCGGCUCUCUGGUCUGUAACUGACGCUGAGGCUCGAAAGCGUGGGGAGCAAACAGG